rnacentral:misc_RNA from 1 species
GGGUGUGCUGGAUUUUUGUCUUCUGUACAGUUUGUUGCAGAGUAUAGUAGAGGGGGUCUCUGAUGCUAAGCGUUUGAUGGUGAUAUUGCGUCAGACGCCGUAAGAAGUUGGCGCUUAUGCAGUAACUGGGUUCGUUGUACGCACCUCUCACUUCAUUAAGGUUACUGCUAAACGUUUUGGACAUAGUGAUAUCGUUGUGAAUGUGUUAUCAUGCUUACUAAUAUCUUCCAUUCAUGACUAUU